rnacentral:rRNA from 1 species
AUUGAACGCUGGCGGCAUGCCUUACACAUGCAAGUCGAACGGCAGCACGGGAGCAAUCCUGGUGGCGAGUGGCGAACGGGUGAGUAAUAUAUCGGAACGUGCCCAGUCGUGGGGAUAACGUAGCGAAAGCUACGCUAAUACCGCAUACGAUCUAUGGAUGAAAGCGGGGGAUCGCAAGACCUCGCGCGAUUGGAGCGGCCGAUAUCAGAUUAGGUAGUUGGUGAGGUAAAGGCUCACCAAGCCGACGAUCUGUAGCUGGUCUGAGAGGACGACCAGCCACACUGGGACUGAGACACGGCCCAGACUCCUACGGGAGGCAGCAGUGGGGAAUAUUGGACAAUGGGCGAAGCCUGAUCCAGCAAUGCCGCGUGAGUGAUGAAGGCCUAGGUUGUAAGCUC